rnacentral:rRNA from 1 species
AACAGGAUUAGAUACCCUGGUAGUCCAUGCCGUAAACGUUGGGCACUAGGUGUGGGGGACAUUCCACGUUUUCCGCGCCGUAGCUAACGCAUUAAGUGCCCCGCCUGGGGAGUACGGCCGCAAGGCUAAAACUCAAAGGAAUUGACGGGGGCCCGCACAAGCGGCGGAGCAUGCUGAUUAAUUCGAUGCAACGCGAAGAACCUUACCAAGGCUUGACAUGCACCGGACGGUCGCAGAGAUGUGGCUUUCUUCGGACUGGUGCACAGGUGGUGCAUGGUUGUCGUCAGCUCGUGUCGUGAGAUGUUGGGUUAAGUCCCGCAACGAGCGCAACCCUCGUUCUAUGUUGCCAGCACGUCAUGGUGGGGACUCAUAGGAGACUGCCGGGGUCAACUCGGAGGAAGGUGGGGACGACGUCAAAUCAUCAUGCCCCUUAUGUCUUGGGCUUCAAGCAUGCUACAAUGGUCGGUACAAUGGGUUGCGAAACUGUGAGGUGGAGCGAAUCCCAAAAAGCCGGCCUCAGUUCGGAUUGGGGUCUGCAACUCGACCCCAUGAAGUCGGAGUCGCUAGUAAUCGCAGAUCAGCAACGCUGCGGUGAAUACGUUCCCGGGCCUUGUACACACCGCCCGUCAAGUCACGAAAAUCGGUAACACCCGAAGCCAGUGGCCCAUCCUCGUGAGGGAGCUGUCUAAGGUGGGAUCGGUGAUUGGGACUAAGUCGUAACAAGGUAACC